AUUGAACGCUGGCGGCAGGCUUAACACAUGCAAGUCGAGCGGGGGAAGGUAGCUUGCUACCGGACCUAGCGGCGGACGGGUGAGUAAUGCUUAGGAAUCUGCCUAUUAGUGGGGGACAACAUCUCGAAAGGGAUGCUAGUACCGCAUACGUCCUACGGGAGAAAGCAGGGGAUCUUCGGACCUUGCGCUAAUAGAUGAGCCUAAGUCGGAUUAGCUAGUUGGUGGGGUAAAGGCCUACCAAGGCGACGAUCUGUAGCGGGUCUGAGAGGAUGAUCCGCCACACUGGGACUGAGACACGGCCCAGACUCCUACGGGAGACAGCAGUGGGGAAUAUUGGACAAUGGGGGGAACCCUGAUCCAGCCAUGCCGCGUGUGUGAAGAAGGCCUUAUGGUUGUAAAGCACUUUAAGCGAGGAGGAGGCUACUUUAGUUAAUACCUAGAGAUAGUGGACGUUACUCGCAGAAUAAGCACCGGCUAACUCUGUGCCAGCAGCCGCCGUAA
rnacentral:rRNA from 1 species